CUCCACUUCGACAUGAAAGCGACCUAAUCGCUUCGGUGAGCACAGCCCACCUCGUAACGCUCUUCGAUUGCUUGUAAUCACUUGCAAUCGGCCUCCCGCGGCACCCGGCACCCGGUUCGGCCUGAACUCUCGCGCGACCACCUGAACGGCCUCCAAUCCACGAUCCAGAAAUUAAAGGUCUUCGGUUAUGUGUCACGGUGCUCCAAUUCCGUUUUCAUGAUUUUACGAAGUCGCCUCGGCCCUCCAAGCAGAAACGAAGCCUAAACGUCCGUUUCUUUAAUAACUUCGCGUAGGCUCGACGAAUCGCCGAACCGACUUCGCAAACGCGUUCGUUUACAUAACAAUUAGGUUACGGACUACUAUUUUACAAAACCCCAUUCGGAGCCCUAAUAGGCAAUUAACCUCCAAAUAAUCCAAAUUAAAUAAAGCAAACAUGUUUAGAACACUCUAUAUACUACUAGAACAUCAUUCAUGAAGGAUUUAAAUAAAAUUCCAAAAGCUUACAAAAAUGUGAACGCCACGACGAAAGCACGCCGCUCCAACUGGCGCACGAAAGCUCGAUCCGUCGCCUCCAACGCGUUCGCAAGCUCGCUCUCCACCAACCCUCCAAUUUUUAGAGAGAGAUUUAGAGAGAUGAGAGAGAAAUCUAGAGAGAGAAAGGAGGAUUUUUUUUUCCCUUCUCCAUGCGUGCGUGUGUGUGUGGCGUGUGUGCUGGUCGGCUGAGGGAGAAGAAGGAAAAGGCUUCUUUAUUCAUUAACACCCUCAAAACAUUAUUCACUCCAGGCAGCUUGAAAUCUGAUAUUUUUCGCCGGAGCUCCCUGAAUAUCCGUUUGAGCUCAAAUUUGACAGUCAUGUUUGGUUUUACUUAACGAGUCCAAAAAAAUUUUAAUAUUUCAGUUUCGACCCCGUUUGGUCACCGAAAACUAUACCGAACUGUAAUCUUUAUCAGAUAGCUGUCGGAUUUUAUUUUCCUCCUUCUGGGUGUCAGAAUGAUAUGAAACUUUAAAUUUAGCCUCAUAAAAUUGAUUCUGACUUAUCCUCCAGUUUUCAUAAUUUUCUGGCACUGUGCAUUUUCUACUAAUUUAUCUGUCCCGUUUCCAACAGAAAAUUAUAAAUCUUCUGUUUUCAUUCCGAUUUCAGCACAAAUCACUUCUGACUUAUGUUUUACUUUUCUAAAUCCAAUAAAAAUAGUAUCUCACCCUAUUUUUAUUUAUUUUUAUUUUUAUACCAAAUUCUGGUAUGUUACAGCCCAUGGAUAGGUUUUUUUUUCUUUUUUUUGUUUUUGAAGUUUUUCAAUUUAUUAG
rnacentral:lncRNA from 1 species